rnacentral:rRNA from 1 species
UACGUAGGGACCGAGCGUUGUCCGGAAUCAUUGGGCGUAAAGAGCGUGUAGGCGGCUCGCUAAGUCUUGCGUGAAAUCUCGGGGCUCAACCCCGAGCGGUCGUGAGAAACUGGCGGGCUAGAGUGCGGGAGAGGAGAGUGGAAUUCCUGGUGUAGCGGUGAAAUGCGCAGAUAUCAGGAAGAACACCAGUGGCGAAGGCGGCUUCCUGGCCUGUAACUGACGCUGAGACGCGAAAGCGUGGGGAGCAAACAGG